UUAACUAUUUGCUUUUUACUUCAGGCUGCAAUGUUGUUCAGGGUUUGAUGUCCGGCCGGCGUGCCACGCUGUCAAGCGGGCGCGCCAACGGCCGACGGGUUUGUAUAAUAUCGGGGGCUAAGCAAGGGGUGGGGGCGGACGCCGAAGCGCCCAACCUGGGUCCCAGUAAUGAUCCUUCCGCAGGUUCACCUACGGAAA
rnacentral:misc_RNA from 1 species